ACUUAAAUAGUUUAUUAAAAAUAUUAAUUUGUGGAAUUAAAGAAAUGAAUAUAAUCAUUUUAAGUA
rnacentral:tRNA from 1 species